rnacentral:tRNA from 1 species
UCCCUGGAGGACUAGUGGUUAGGCCAUGGCGUUCUCACCACCAUAGCCCGGGUUUGAUUCCCAGCCAGGGAA